rnacentral:rRNA from 1 species
UACACGCUGUGACUAGCAUAUCAAUAAGCGGAGGAAAAGAAACUAACAAGGAUUCCCCUAGUAACGGCGAGUGAAGCGGGAAGAGCUCAAAUUUGAAAUCUUAAAGGGUUUCCCUUUACGAAUUGUAGUUUAAAGAAGUGUUUUCUGUUGAGGUUUUGGUAAAAGUUCCUUGGAAUAGGACAUCAUAGAGGGUGAGAAUCCCGUAUUUGACCUUUACUUUCAACUUUGUGAUACACUUUCAAAGAGUCGGAUUGUUUGGGAAUGCAGUCCAAAAUGGGUGGUAAAUUUCAUCUAAAGCUAAAUAUUGGCGAGAGACCGAUAGCUGAACAAGUACCGUGAGGGAAAGAUGAAAAGAACUUUGAAAAGAGAGUUAAACAGUACGUGAAAUUGUCAAAAGGGAAGCGUUUGACACCAGUGUUGUUUUUCUGAAAAUCAAUUAAAGAACUGUUUAUGCUAAGCUGUUUAGACUUUAUCAGCUAACUGUUUAGUUUUGAGCUUUUCUUUAAUGCACUUUUCAGUUAACAAGUCAACAUCAAUUUCUUUUGCUGUAAAAAAGCUUGAGGAAGGUGGCUUGAGAUUCGUCUUAAGUGUUUAUAGCCUCUUGCCUAUGCAGUCGGAGAGAUUGAGGUCUGCAGCGUAGAUCCUUCGGGGCUAAAUGCAUUUGUGCUAAGUUAUAACAUUUUAUAGACAACUUGUUGACUAUGAUUUGUCUUGUAGCUUACUCGCUUAUGUUAUUUUACCUACGCUUAGGAUGUUGACGAGACUGUCGAUCUCAUCUAUACAUGACUCUGUGCAUAUCAAUAAGCGGAGGAAAAGGCUGCGGAACUGAACGACCGCUACCUACGCUUAGGAUGUUGACGAGACUGUCGAUCUCAUCUAUACAUGACUCUGUGCAUAUCAAUAAGCGGAGGAAAAGUACUACCUACGCUUAGGAUGUUGAAUCUGUGCGAGACUAC